GACGAACGCUGGCGGCGUGCUUAACACAUGCAAGUCGAACGGAAAGGCCCUGCUUUUGUGGGGUGCGCGAGUGGCGAGCGGGUGAGUAACACGUGAGUAACCUGCCCUUGACUUUGGGAUAACUUCAGGAAACUGGGGCUAAUACCGGAUAGGAGCUCCUGCUGCAUGGUGGGGGUUGGAAAGUUUCGGCGGUUGGGGAUGGACUCGCGGCUUAUCAGCUUGUUGGUGGGGUAGUGGCUUACCAAGGCUUUGACGGGUAGCCGGCCUGAGAGGGUGACCGGCCACAUUGGGACUGAGAUACGGCCCAGACUCCUACGGGAGGCAGCAGUGGGGAAUAUUGCACAAUGGGCGGAAGCCUGAUGCAGCAACGCCGCGUGCGGGAUGACGGCCUUCGGGUUGUAAACCGCUUUCGCCUGUGACGAAGCGUGAGUGACGGUAAUGGGUAAAGAAGCACCGGCUAACUACGUG
rnacentral:rRNA from 1 species